UCUUGUCUUGAACUGUGUAGCCUGUCAGCACGUGAAGAUCAUUUGCAGCAACUGGGGAGCAGUGGGGUUUAGAGGUAGCAAGGGAGCUCGGGGAGACCGGAAAGCUGUCACUCUAUUCUCAUUGUAGAGCUGCCUCUCCGCCAGAUGAAAGGGGAGACUUCCUGCUGAGAAGCAUUCAGGACAUUGCCGCUCAGCUGAGUGAAGACUCAUGUCUCUACUAAUAUCCCGGAGGAUCAGACAGAUUAUGGGGACUGUGCUGCAAUUUCCUCUUCAUUCAUAUUCCGCUGGCUGGACAUUGUGCAGAUGAGUUCCCUGCUCCCUGAGUGGACCUUUGCUCAUCUAAAGAACAUAUAGUUAUUACUGUAUGUCAGGAACUGUGCUGUGUGUCAGAGUCAAACCUGAUGAAGAAACACAAGAGCUAACACGACUCAUCAGGCUGCGGGGUAGUAGGCUGUGCCUCACAAGAGGAGUUCAGGUGCUGUGGGCUCCAGUAGAAGGCCAUCUUCUCUGAACUUCCUGCAUCUGUGCAUUAGGUAUGUGGAGAUCCCCUCACAGAAGGAAGCUAAGGAGUCUCCCAUGUGCCUGUCUAGAUUUCGACUUGAGAAGGAACACAGACUCAGAUUUGGCUCCAUAGCAAAUGCCUGGCUGAGCAGCGAGCGUCAGUCACCGAAUGCCUUGAGGUCCCAUCCCGGCCACUACAAAGUGAAAGCAAACAAAGCUGAGGCACAGAACAACGGAAGCAGGUUUCACACUGCCCUCCUUGAACAAAAGGGAGCGAUGGAGAUUUUUAUCUGGGAAGCUAUUAGCGUUCACAUCGGGACGGCACGUUCCUUGGCACACUCGCUUCAGAAAUCUAGUAUCUUCCUGAGCGUGCGAAGUUUAAGGUCACAGUUCGGGAGGGAAAGGUGGCGUGCACACCCGGAGCAUGCUAAUCACAAAGUCUUGGAGCUCACAACUCGAUACAUGAAAUGAUGGGCAGGACCUUUUGAGUAUGUUCAUCUUACAUCAUCGAGAUGGCGGCAGACAGGAACACCUCUGGGAAGGCUCGGCGUCCCAUCAUGAAGUUUUGAGUGAGAAGAAGAAGGGCACUUGGAAGGUGUUUGGCUACAGGAGUUUACUCCUCCGAGUGCCUGUCUAGGUGGCCAGUGAACAGUUUUCUAGCCCAGUGCACAUUAAAACCAGGAGUUUAUUAGCAAAGAGUUUUUCAAAUAAAAAGCUAGAACCCUGGACUUGGUGGGUAGAACUCCUAGUCAGAAGCACUCACAUGGGGCCCAAAGAGUGGCUUCUCACGUGGAGUGGCUUCUCUCACAAAGCACAGAGUGUGACUUUUUCUUGAUGGCAUCAGUUAGCAGUAACGGUAACUAGAGAAUACCUGACUGACAUUAAAAAAAAAAAAAAACGUACAUACUGAGGAGUCAUUCUUACUUCAGACUUAUUGAAAGAGGUUGUGUGAAACUGCAAACUAAAUAGUUUGCAAGUCAAAAAGCACUUAGAUGAGGCUGGCCCUCCCUGGCAUGGAUCUCACUUGCCUGGCCUGCAUGAAGCCUGGGUUUGAGCUCCGGUCCCACAAGACAGACAAUGACAAAUUCCUUAACACCCUAAUCAAGAUGGCGAUGAAAAUUAUUGAUGAGAGCCUAGGCUCUGAAGCUGUUUGCCCAAUGUUCAAUUCUGAGUUUGUUUGCUUACUGGCCUUGAGACCUUGGGCUAUUUUCCUUCUUCAUUCCUUUCCUCAGCUUUCUCACUUGAAUAUGGGGCUGGUUUUAGCAAGUCACAGGAGCUAAGUUCAUUGAUGUGUGCCAUAAACACUUGUCAUGGUGCCUGGUGUGUAAAGAGAAACAGUGCCUGUUGUGUAGAUCCUAAGAGAGGAACAACAAAUACAGAGGUGAGCCCGCAUUGACCCUCGCAGUUCCCAGGGGCGAGUGAGAAGUUUUGCCCUUAGAAGGUUGUACGGUACUAACCUCUAGGGAUGAGAAAUUAAAUCUGGAGCUUGUGGGAGCUGAUAUGGGGGAACCGAGACGUCAACAUAAAGCCAGGAUCCCAGAAGGACAAUAAUAUCCUGCAAAAAUUAUAGAGUGUAAAAGGCUCACCUGUAGCAUAGAAAGAUGGAAAGGACUCUUGCUUGUUUGGAGCCGAAUGCUAGGUCAGGAGAGGGAAGGACCUCCUUUAAGAAUUCAAAACCACCAUUGUGACCCUCUGGUAUGCCCAUCUUUACGUAAACGGUUCCUGUACAGCCUAGAAGUCCCCAGGCUGAGACCAGUUAUACUGCAUUGUAAGCACACCCUGUUACGCCAGUUCUCUCCAGAUAGCAGCUUUGCUGAGGAUGAGCUUGCAAUCAUAAAUCAUGUAAGGCACAAGGGGGAAAGGGUGAGCAAGAGUCUACAGGCACAGCAAAUAACAGGAUUGGAUCUUUCAGAGCCUUCGGUUAUAGAGCCACCUCAGAUCACAAACUACAAUUGUUAAGAUGCCUAAAACAUAAAGUUUUUAAAAAUGAAAAAAAGCUAGAAAAAUAAGUGAAAAAAUCAGUCAUAUUUUAUAUAUAAAAUAAAUAGUGUGUUUUCUUGGAGCAAAAAAAAAAAGUUCAUUAAGAUUUAGAACUCAAUAAAUAUGCCAAAUAGUACAUUAGACAUAACUGAGUAAGGAUUUAAAAAGUUGGAACUGGAACUGGGAGACUCUCAGGCUAGAGAUGAGGUGAAAUCUGACAGAGAUAAUAGAAGACAGGAGAAUAAGAUGGAAACAUCUAAUGAUCACGCAAGGGAAGUUUCAGAAGAGAAGUUAGUGCUAACCGGGUAAGGAGUGUUUGAAGAGAAGGGUAUUAAAAUUGAGUAAACAUGCAAUAAGGAUGUCUUAGCUCAGAAAUCACAGCAAAUGCCAAACUAGAUAAACAAGAGCAAUCUUUUAGAGGUACUACAGUGAAACUGCAGAGAACCAAGGGUGGGGGGGUGGAGAGAAAAUUUCUAAUACAGAAGGGGAGGAGUGGGGUCCAUGUCAGCUGAGGAUUCUGUGCCGCUGCGUGGCAGAAACCAUAAGGAGAGAGUGUGGUCCUACGACCUGUAGCCCAGGAAAAAACAAAAAACAAAACAAAACAAAAACCUCCAUAAAGGAAUGUCUGACUGUGAGGUACAUGGAGAGAGAGGCUUCAAAGCAGACAGAGGAGCCAGGCAUGGUAGCACAUGCCUGUAAUCCCAGCGCUGUGAGACAGAAGCAAAACAGUGACAGUUUUAGACCACAGAUAUGUAGUGAGACACUACUUCAAAACAAGGGGUUUGGGGCUGCAGCAUUGAAAGAACACACUGAGGGUUCAGAGCUGGUGCAGAAGGCUGCUAAGAACUCUUGAAUUGUUGCAAGGAUACAGUGAGACAUUAAAAACAGGCUUGUUAACUAAUAAGAAUUUUCCAGAGGAUGGCUUUGUAGUGACUGUGGUGUGGAAGUGAAUCUAUUCUGAGCUCUUCGUUCUCAAUUCCAAACUGCUGGUUUGUUUUGCUCCCCCCACCCCCCGCCCUCCACCCCUUCUUAGUCUUAUUUCUAAUAGCGCAGAGAAGCUUUACAGCACUCUGAUGUGUGCUGAGAAAAGGGCUGAAUAAAUGUUGAGCAAAUGCUUUUGUUUCGCUUUGGAUGAACCAUCCCGAGUACAGCUGUGACAUUUUCAAAUGGAAAUGGAAUAUAUUAACCCACUUCUUUUUUGCUGUCGGAUUAGACUGGUCGUGUUUAGUCAGGUUGGUCCCACCAAGAGCAUUGUCUGGUCACGGAAAGCCCCUUGGAAUCCUAUCUCCCUUGUGUGGGUUAAUAUUUUUAUAUAGCCUCUUGUCCCUUGAGCUGCUGGUGGUGAUGGAAAGUUGGGAAGCAUUUACCCAAGAGUCAUGCCCAAGAAACUUCAAGAGUCAUGCACAGCCUGCUAACAAAUGUGAGUGAAUUAGGAAGAGCUAGCCCCAGGAAACUGCUGAGAUGGGCUGGGUACUACAUGACUCAUUUAGCCACUUUAAUCUGAAGCUUUUUCUCUUACUCGCCUGGGAAUCGAGGACAUACUUGGGAGAGCCUUGUCUUCCAGAGCAUUCUCGUUGAGUGUGACCAUGAGACAGCAUGCCGGGAACUUGAAGUACUUCAGGGAAAGUGCCUGCCCUCAGGCAUGUCGACUGUAAUGUGGGGUAUGGGGAGGUCACUGUGACAGAGCUGUAGAAGCAUGGUACAAUGGAAGCAGCAUGGCUGCAGCUGUGGGGAUGAUGUAAUAAUGAGAUUAGUGAGCAAGGAGUAGCGAGAGUCGCCGGAGGGGAACGAAACAACAGCGAAUUAGCAAAGGUCAAAAUGUAGACUGAGCAAGAGGUGAACAGCCAGGCAUGUUGCCGGCAUGUCAGGAAGAGGCCAACAUGGAGAUAGUGUUAUAAGCAAACGUCAGAAUACACCUGGGUUUGGGGGGCCUCCGGAUGGGUAGCAAAGCAAGUCAUGACAAGCGUGUUGUGAAGGAACCUGACUGAUUUUUCUGCAGACGGGUGCUUUCAUUCCUGGAAAGAACCAGCAGAUAGGGAAGUCCAGGAGGCAGACACUGGGUGCUUCUGGAUCCACCCAAGCAGCUGUAGUGCACACAGGAAGUGGGAAGGCUCGGGGAGACACUUCUUCAGGGAAUUGAAUCCAGGGCCUCCAACAUGCUUGGCAAGAUCUCUACAACUGAACAAUUAUCCCCAACCCUUAACAGUUUUAAUUUUUCUCGACUUCAAAUGAUAGCAAGUAGAAACACAAGCACCAAGAAAAGGACCGGUGGUAGCUCAUGUUACAGUCACACCCUGUAAGUGUUUUUCCUUGUGCUGGAGUAGGAGUGUAGCACGCAGCAGCCCUUUGGAAAAAGUUAGAGCUUCUUCUACAUGUAAGCAUCGCCUUUAGCGUGCGACCUGGCAGUCUCUCUCCUAGUUAUAUUAGCUAGCUGGUAGAAAACUCACAUCCUCACAAAAAACAAUAACAACAAAAAUAAAACAAACAAAAAAACCUGCCUAAAACGUUUCCAGUGGCAUUUUUCAUAGUUACUGGAAUUUAGAAGUGA